AAAAAUAUGCCACAAAAUCAUAAGCUUGUUUAUAUUUUGAUAAUCUUUCUUUCUUUAUCUCUUGGUGUAAUCAGUGUUCAAACAAAUCUUUUUAUAAAAUGCAAAAAAAAUGCUGAUUGUCCAAAAUAUAAAUGUGCAUCAAACAAAGUGAAGUGCAUUAUUUUUACUUGUAUGUGCAUGGGCCUAGAUAGCAUACAGUAGUAGGAACACACUAUUUCCUUUUGUCUUUUAAAGACUAAUUUUCCUGUAAAAAUGAACGGUUAGUUAAUGAUGAAAUUAUUUAGCAAAUUUGAAUUAUAUUUUUGGAGGUGCUACAAAGGAUUGAUAUAUGAGCCAUCAAUUUGUUCAUUUUUAAUUAUUAUAUCAGUGUAACAAUUGUCCGUUUUGAAUUAAAUUUUUGUGUGUAUAUUUUUUAUGGCUAUUUGUGUAGUUGUCUUAUUUAGAUGUUGGAUCUCUAGUUUUCUUUACUUCUAGUAUAUGUACUCUAAUUUUAUUUUAUUUUUAUAUAUAAAUAUUAUAUUUGUCAUUAAAAAUAUAAAAUAUCCAUUUUGAAUUAUUGUGAGAGACCUAUUCUCUUUAGAAAUUAUACCAUCAUAAAAAUAUAAAUUUUUCUUAUAAUGGUGGGGAUUAAAUUGUCGUAAUGUUAAUGACUAUUAUGAAUCUUCGAUCUUUGUAUUUUAUUUAUCUGUAUUUUAUUGAUUUAUAUAUAAAGAAGGUUAAAAAGUUAACGGAAAUAGUGGACAUAUAUAGGAGUAUUUUUGGAAGACUAAGCAAAGGAGCCCAUUAAACAAUCUUGCGGUUAACUCAACUCUAUAAAACUGAUUUGUACCCGUGGUGCCUCCGCCCCUGCUUAUAAAUUCAUGUUGAGUAAUCUCAAUCCGUUGUAAGAGUUUUAACAAAUUUUAUACUGAAUUAUGUGCUAUUUGAUGAAAUAAAAUUAGUUUGUGCCGCUAUACAAAAUCAGGGUCAUUUCAUACAUAAGUCAAUAACACUCUUUUUCUCUCUUUAGAUUAAUAUUCUUAUGUUGAGAAAGUUUUCUGAAUUUUUCAAAGGAAAUAGGGCCAAAGGGGGCCUAAGUCAAUAACACACACUACAACAUUUUGAAGAUUAGGCAGCGGUCAAAAACCAUGUAAAGCCAAAAAAACGUACCUAUAUCCUAUGGCAACGGUUUAGCAACGGUUUUCGUAGCGCACUCUAUAUGGCCGUGCCCUUUGCUAUAGGCAGCGGUUUUUGAGUUUUCGCCCACAGUAAUACAUAACCGCUGCUUAAAUCUUUAAAAGGCAGCGGUUUGUUGUGAUCCAGUUGCAACAGUUUUUAUACAUUAAGGGACAGUUUUGGAUUGUUGCUUACUUUUUGUUUAGCAACGGUUUCACAUAUAAGUCUAGGCAACAGUUUAUUCUUGUUGCUUAUCUUUACCGGGAACGGAUUUUUAACAUACUAUUGUGGCAACAGUUAUAGUAAUAGCAAUGGUUAUUGACUCGUUGUUAGUUCUGCAUUUAAUUUUACACAACGGUUAUUUCGUGUUGCUUAUCUGUUAGCAACACUUUUUUUUUCAAUAAUUAUUUUUGGUUACUUUUAAAUAAUUUUUUUUAUAAUAACAAUUCUUUUUUAUUUUGAAAAAACAAUAAAUAAAUAGCAUAAUUGAUGUAAAAUAAAAUAAAUAAAAACUCAAUUUUAAAAGCCUAAAGAAAAUAGAUAACAUUGUUGCAUCAUUUAAUAUUCCAAGUUUGGAAUAUUAAAAUAGAUAACUUGUUCAAAAAUAUUCCAAGUUUGGAUAUCCAAAAUAUACAAAAUUAAAAUAACACAUGAUAUGAGACCAAAAAAAUAAAAUAACACGUGAUAGUUUGUUUUAAAAAUAACCAAAAAGUAUUAGUUUUUACAUAAACUUGAUUCAUAACUCAUCAUCUUUAUCAACUUCAAGCUCACCUUCCUCAAAUGUUGGAAGAAUGUCCUGCAUUUAUAUAAAAAAAAAAUGAUAAGUCCUUGCAAAUUCUUCCUCAAUAGUGUGUGUUAAUGCAUAAUUAUGUUUUUGAAAAGCCAAGAAAAUUUUAUUAAAAUAGGCAUGAGACAUGACUUAAAUAAGUCUAAUACAACAGAGCUACCCUGGUUAUUCACAAGUUACCUACUAAAUCUACACAACUCCAACAUACUAAGCUAUUCUCCCAAUACCCAUAGUAUGUUGGAAAGAAUCUUCAAAGCGAGGUACUUUCCCCAUUCCUCUCUUAUUGAUUAUAAACUUGGUAAUAAUCCUAGUUUUGUGUGGCGAAGCAUUUGGAAGUCUAGGCAAGUUUUGCAUGAUGGAUGUAGAUGGCAAAUAGGUGAUGGUAGCAACAUUAGAAUUAUGAAUGAACCGUGGUUAAGGGUAGACAAUGAACAUUGGGUUAGAGCUCCUCAAAAGCAAGAAGUGUACAAUUUAACUGUCCAACAACUUAUGCUACCUAACAUAAAACAAUGGGACAGUCGAAAAAUUAAUUCUUUAUUUUCUGAGGAUGUUGCUAAAUCUAUUCUUGUUGUCCCGUUGUUAGAAGUAGUGAAAGAUGAUAAGUUAAUUUGGGAAGAGGAAAGAGAUGGGGUGUACUCGGUUAGAUCGGGAUACCGGAAAUUAAUAAAGAGGAGGGGGUAGAACAAAGGCCAAUAGAUAGAGAAAAUUGGAGUAUACAAUCCCCACCAAAAGCCAAACACUUGCUUUGGAGAAUUUGUAAGGAAUGUUUACUGAUGCGAACGCGCUUGAGAAGUCGUUAUGUUCAAUGUCCGGUGGAAUGUCCCUUAUGUCAAAAUGAUAAUGAGGAUGAUUGGCACUUAUUAUUUGAUUGUGAACCUACUUUGGAAGAUUGGAAUACUAUGAGAAUGUAUCAAAAAAUACAUUCACGAAAGCAACAGUUUCAUAAUGCUAGAGAUUUGAUUUUUGAUAUUUGCAGGAAUGAAAGUAUACAAACAGCAGGCAAGAUGGCAGUUUUGAUUUGGUCUUUGUGGCAAAAUCAAA
rnacentral:lncRNA from 1 species